rnacentral:rRNA from 1 species
AUUGAACGCUGGCGGCGUGCUUAACACAUGCAAGUCGAACGAAGUGGCGAACGGGUGAGUAACGCGUAAUCAACCUGCCCUUCAGAGGGGGACAACAGUUGGAAACGACUGCUAAUACCGCAUACUGAAGGAGGGGAUUGCGUGUGAUUAGCUAGUUGGAGGGGUAACGGCCCACCAGGGCGAUGAGCAGUAGGCGGUCUGCGAGGAUUAACGGCCAACUUGGGACUGGGAAACGGCCCAAACUCCUACGGGAGGCAGCAAUGGGGAAUCUUCCGACAUGGACGGAAGUCUGACGGAGCAACGCCGCGUGAGUGAUGACGGCCUUCGGGUUGUAAAGCUCUGUUAAUCGGGACGCGGUACCGGAAUAGAAAGCCACGGCUAACUACGUGCCAGCAGCCGCGGUAAUUC